rnacentral:rRNA from 1 species
GACGAACGCUGGCGGCGUGCCUAAUACAUGCAAGUUGAGCGCUGAAGGUUGGUACUUGUACCAACUGGAUGAGCAGCGAACGGGUGAGUAACGCGUGGGGAAUCUGCCUUUGAGCGGGGGACAACAUUUGGAAACGAAUGCUAAUACCGCAUAAAAACUUUAAACACAAGUUUUAAGUUUGAAAGAUGCAAUUGCAUCACUCAAAGAUGAUCCCGCGUUGUAUUAGCUAGUUGGUGAGGUAAAGGCUCACCAAGGCGAUGAUACAUAGCCGACCUGAGAGGGUGAUCGGCCACAUUGGGAAUGAGACACGGCCCAAACUCCUACGGGAGGCAGCAGUAGGGAAUCUUCAGGAAUGGACGAAAGUCUGACCGAGCAACACCGCGUGAGUGAAGAAGGUUUUCGGAUCGUAAAACUCUGUUGGUAGAGAAGAACGUUGGUGAGAGUGGAAAGCUCAUAAAGUGACGGUAACUACCCAGAAAGGGACGGCUAACUACGUG